rnacentral:rRNA from 1 species
GACGAACGCUGGCGGCGUGCCUAAUACAUGCAAGUCGAACGCAGGGGGGACGGGUGAGUAACACGUGGGUAACCUCCCAUCAGAGGGGAUAACACUUGGAAACAGGUGCUAAACCGAUACUGAUGGAUGAACCCGCGGUGCAUUAGCUAGUUGGUGAGGGAACGGCUCACCAAGGCCACGAUGCAUAGCCGGCCUGAGAGGGUGAUCAGCCAAACUGGGACUGAGACACGGCCCAGACUCCUACGGGAGGCAGCAGUAGGGAAUCUUCGGAAAUGGACGAAAGUCUGACCGAGCAACGCCGCGUGAGUGAAGAAGGUUUUCGGAGCGUAAAGCUCUUUUGUUAGAGAAGCGGUAUCUAACCAGAAAGCCACGGCUAACUACGUGCCAGCAGCCGCGGUAAUAC